rnacentral:snRNA from 1 species
AUACUUACCUGGUGCUGGGCUGUCUGGUGGUCACUAUGGCCGGCGCCCCAAGCGGAGGCCGGCCAUUGCACUGCGGUCGGCUGAAGCUUGCCACUUCCCCAAACUGGGGCAGAUGGGGCAUGCAAUUUUUGGUAGUGGGGUCAGGCGUGCGCGCCGGCCCCUC